AGAGUUUGAUCCUGGCUCAGGAUGAACGCUAGCUACAGGCUUAACACAUGCAAGUCGAGGGGCAGCAUGAACUUAGCUUGCUAAGUUUGAUGGCGACCGGCGCACGGGUGAGUAACACGUAUCCAACCUGCCGAUGACUCGGGGAUAGCCUUUCGAAAGAAAGAUUAAUACCCGAUGGCAUAGUUCUUCCGCAUGGUAGAACUAUUAAAGAAUUUCGGUCAUCGAUGGGGAUGCGUUCCAUUAGGUUGUUGGCGGGGUAACGGCCCACCAAGCCUUCGAUGGAUAGGGGUUCUGAGAGGAAGGUCCCCCACAUUGGAACUGAGACACGGUCCAAACUCCUACGGGAGGCAGCAGUGAGGAAUAUUGGUCAAUGGACGAGAGUCUGAACCAGCCAAGUAGCGUGAAGGAUGACUGCCCUAUGGGUUGUAAACUUCUUUUAUACGGGAAUAAAGUGAGGCACGUGUGCCUUUUUGUAUGUACCGUAUGAAUAAGGAUCGGCUAACUCCGUGCCAGCAGCCGCGGUAAUACGGAGGAUCCGAGCGUUAUCCGGAUUUAUUGGGUUUAAAGGGAGCGUAGGCGGACGCUUAAGUCAGUUGUGAAAGUUUGCGGCUCAACCGUAAAAUUGCAGUUGAUACUGGGUGUCUUGAGUACAGUAGAGGCAGGCGGAAUUCGUGGUGUAGCGGUGAAAUGCUUAGAUAUCACGAAGAACUCCGAUUGCGAAGGCAGCUUGCUGGACUGUAACUGACGCUGAUGCUCGAAAGUGUGGGUAUCAAACAGGAUUAGAUACCCUGGUAGUCCACACAGUAAACGAUGAAUACUCGCUGUUUGCGAUAUACAGUAAGCGGCCAAGCGAAAGCGUUAAGUAUUCCACCUGGGGAGUACGCCGGCAACGGUGAAACUCAAAGGAAUUGACGGGGGCCCGCCAAGCGGAGGAACAUUGGGUUUAAUUCGAUGAUACGCGAGGAACCUUACCCGGGCUUGAAUUGCAAUUGAAUGAUGUGGAACAUUUCACCCCCAAGGAAUUUUUAAAGUGCCGCAAGGUUGCCUCCCCUCCGCCGCGAGGGGUGCGGUUUAAUGCCAUACAAGGCCACCCUCUUCUAAUUUUCCUCCCAGUUUUCUGGGGACUUCUCCAACACGCCCUCCAAAAUUAGAGAAGGGGGGGGGAGGCCAAAUACACAGGCCCUUACUCCGGGCGUCACCACUGCUAAAAGGGGGGGCAAAGAGCGCACCCGCCGCCGGUUGUAACCCUAAAGCCUCUCUCAGUUCGGAUUGGAGUCUGCAACCCGACUCCAUGAAGCUGGAUUCGCUAGUAAUCGCGCAUCAGCCACGGCGCGGUGAAUACGUUCCCGGGCCUUGCACACACCGCCCGUC
rnacentral:rRNA from 1 species